rnacentral:rRNA from 1 species
CAGCAGCCGCGGGAACACGGAGGGCGCGAGCGUUACCCGGAUUUACUGGGCGUAAAGGGCGUGUAGGCGGCCUGGGGCGUCCCAUGUGAAAGGCCACGGCUCAACCGUGGAGGAGCGUGGGAUACGCUCAGGCUAGAGGGUGGGAGAGGGUGGUGGAAUUCCCGGAGUAGCGGUGAAAUGCGCAGGUACCGGGAGGAACGCCGAUGGCGAAGGCAGCCACCUGGUCCACUUCUGACGCUGAGGCGCGAAAGCGUGGGGAGCAAACCGGAUUAGAUACCCGAGUAGUCCCUGUCUCUUAUAC